UCACAUUGCUGCGGGGUGGAGGCGUUUUUAACUAACCCUAAUGCAGAGUAAGUGGCUGGGCCUUCCUCACACUGCCUCCCGCUGCGUGAAACCUCGCUGUUUUCUUGGCUAACUUUCAGCGAGGUGAGGCAAGGCGGCAAAAAAAAGUUGGGAGCAGCAACGGCAAGCAAAAAAAAAGUUCCAGCCGAGGCCUCCUCACCACGCGGCCUGGGUCUGAGGGUAACAUGGCCCUGCGGGAGAGAGCCAACACGGGGGGGCCCCGGUCCGGCUAACAGGGCAGGAGGUCGGCCCCAAUUGCCUCAGGCCCAGCCACUCCGGGCCGCGAUCAGCCCGGGCUUUCCCUACUUUGGGGCCCAAUGCUGUCGCGAAGAGUUCGGCUCUGUCAGCCCGGCUGGGUCCGGGUGGGGGCCGGCACAGAGGGACACACCGGGCCGGGGCGCCGAGGAUAGCUACCGCCCGCAGGGAUAGUAAAUAUCCGUGACCAGUGGCCUCGGUGGCUGCGUCUCCCGGAGCAAUGGGACCCGCAAGGCUGCCCUGGUCAUACACGC
rnacentral:telomerase_RNA from 2 species